rnacentral:rRNA from 1 species
UAGGGAAUCUUCGGCAAUGGACGAAAGUCUGACCGAGCAACGCCGCGUGAGUGAAGAAGGUUUUCGGAUCGUAAAACUCUGUUGUUAGCGAAGAACAAGGACGUUAGUAACUGAACGUCCCCUGACGGUAUCUAACCAGAAAGCCACGGCUAACUACGUGCCAGCAGCCGCGGUAAUACGGAGGUGGCAAGCGUUGUCCGGAUUUAUUGGGCGUAAAGCGAGCGCAGGCGGUUUCUUAAGUCUGAUGUGAAAGCCCCCGGCUCAACCGGGGAGGGUCAUUGGCAACUGGGCGACAUGAGUGCAGAAGAGGAGAGUGGAAUUCCAUGUGUAGCGGUGAAAUGCGUAGAUAUAUGGAGGAACACCAGUGGCGAAGGCGGCUCUCUGGUCAGUAACUGACGCUGAGGUUCGAAAGCGUGGGGAGCAAACAGG